rnacentral:rRNA from 1 species
AUUGAACGCUGGCGGCAUGCUUUACACAUGCAAGUCGGACGGUAACAGGCCGCAAGGUGCUGACGAGUGGCGAACGGGUGAGUAAUGCAUCGGAACGUGCCCAGUCGUGGGGGAUAACGCAGCGAAAGCUGCGCUAAUACCGCAUACGAUCUAUGGAUGAAAGCGGGGGACCGUAAGGCCUCGCGCGAUUGGAGCGGCCGAUGUCAGAUUAGGUAGUUGGUGGGGUAAAGGCUCACCAAGCCAACGAUAUGUAGCUGGUCUGAGAGGACGACCAGCAGCACUGGGACUGAGACACGGCCCAGACUCGUACAGGAGGCAGCAGUGGGGAAGUGUGGACAAUGGGCGCAAGCCUGAUCCAGCAAUGCCGCGUGCAGGAAGGAGGACUUCUGGUUGUAAACUGCUUUUGUACGGAGCGAAAAGGCGCUGGUUAAUACCUGGGGCUCAUGACGGUACCGUAAGAAUAAGCACCGGCUAACUACGUGCCAGCAGCCGCAGUAAGAC